rnacentral:rRNA from 1 species
GACGUAGGGGGCGAGCGUUGUCCGGAUUUAUUGGGCGUAAAGAGCGCGUAGGCGGCCCGUUAAGUCGGAUGUGAAAACCCGUGGCUCAACCACGGGCCUGCAUCCGAUACUGGCGGGCUCGAGGCAGGCAGGGGAGAUCGGAAUUCCUGGUGUAGCGGUGAAAUGCGCAGAUAUCAGGAGGAACACCGGUGGCGAAGGCGGAUCUCUGGGACGGUACUGACGCUGAGACGCGAAAGCGUGGGGAGCGAACAGG